rnacentral:tRNA from 1 species
GGAUCAUUAGCUCAGAUGGUAGAGUGCUUGAGAAUAACUCAAGAGAUGGUGGUUCAAGUCCAUCAUGAUCCU